UACGUAGGGUGCGAGCGUUGUCCGGAAUUAUUGGGCGUAAAGAGCUUGUAGGCGGUCUGUCGCGUCUGCUGUGAAAAUCCGGGGCUCAACCCCGGACUUGCAGUGGGUACGGGCAGACUAGAGUGUGGUAGGGGAGACUGGAAUUCCCAGUGUAGCGGUGAAAUGCGCAGAUAUCGGGAGGAACACCUAUGGCGAAGGCAGCUCGCUGGGACGUUACUGACGCUGAGACGCGAAAGCGUGGGGAGCAAACAGG
rnacentral:rRNA from 1 species